UUUAUUGAUUCGAUGUUUUUCACGUAUGCUUAUAAUAAAUAUGAGUUGAAUUCUGUACAUAAUUAAAAGUCCGCACUCAAAAACUAAUAUUUUUUCCAGUGUUUUUCUUUUUAUUUAUUUUCAUAUUUUAAAACUAUGCCUAAAUGCUUAAAAUAAUUUCGAUUGAAUAAAAAACAAAACGUAAAUAUAUAUUAAAAUGCUUGGUAUUCAGUAUAAAAUGGUAAAUUACUUAAAUAUCUGAAAUUUGUAUGUUUCAGACUUUGUUAAUUAAUUAUAAAGUUGCAAGAUAAAGUUAAUUGAGGGGGGUUGAAGACACAAAUGGGCCGUUUUGUAAUGUAUGAAACGUUAUUAACAAGAUAUAAUAGUUGUAAAAUAAAAUUUAGAGGAAUACUAUUACGAUUACGAUUUCAAAAUGAAUUUAACAACAAAACAAACACAUCAUUAUUAUUACUGGGUCAAUAAUUUAUAAUUAUUAAUAAAUAAUAAAAGAAAACAAAACAAAUAAUUAUAAUUAAAUUUAGUGUAGCGUUACGAUAGCAUGUUACUUCUAAGUGCCUUAAUCGUUAUUUCAAUUGAUAUCACGAUCACCUGCGGAUCAAAUGUAACAACUGGAACAACAUCUAACGUUGGAUACUACAAUAGUGAUUACAUUACAACCACAAAUAGUAUGGGUCUCAUUGAGGAAUCUUCACCGAAACCAGAUGAUGAUUGGGAAAGUGGUGGUGAUGGUGGUGUAUCAAGCAGUAUGAAUGUAACAUCAUUUCCAUACGAUAGUUCAUUCAUAUCAGCCGUGUUCAGUAUAAACUAUUGCGACAAAUGGGAACAAACAAAUCAUAUAUACUUCCAGCUGGCCAAUACAUUUUUCUUCCUAUCGUACCUGGCGCCUACUGGUCUAUAUGGAAUGUUAUAUUUACGUUGCACACUGCUGGUCGGUUGUGCGUUCUUUGCAUUGUGGGGUUGGGCGGUGCGUUGUUAUCUUGAUGCCUUUGUUUGGAACACAUUAUUUGUCCUUAUUAAUUUUAUACAUAUAUGUAUAUUAUUAUUUUAUUUGAGGCCAAUCAGAUUCUCCAAGGAAGUCGAAGAGGUUUAUGUAGCAUUAUUUCGUCCACUAAAGGUAUCAAGACAUAAAUUUAAAAAAGUUUUGAGUUGUAUGAAAAUGAUUAGAACUUUAAAAUAUCAAGAAGUAUACGCCCAAGAGAAAGCAACUAAAGUUGAUAGUCUAUCUCUUGUACUAUCUGGAAAACUUGUAGUGUCACAAGGUGGUCGUGCUUUACAUAUUGUAUUUCCACAUCAAUUUCUGGAUAGUCCCGAAUGGUUUGGUGUGUCAACCGAUGAAUUUUUUCAAGUCAGUAUUACGGCCAUGGAAUGGUCGCGUGUAUUAAUAUGGCACCGUGAUAAAUUACGACUUUCAAUUAUAACUGAUCAAUUCCUACAAGCAGUAUUCGAUCAUAUACUUGGUAGAGAUGUUGUAAAAAAAUUAAUGCAGGUAAGCGAAACAAUGGCAGCAAGUAAUAAUGGUCAUAUUCCUAAUAUGGAUGAUUCUGAUGAUAAACCAAUGUUAAUUGUAAAGAAAUCAGGAGAUGGUCCUGGCAUCACUGCCUUAAUAAACAGACAACUUCAAGAAGAGCAUGCCCCUUUACUAGCAGCUCCUUUGGCGCGAUCACUACGUUCAAGCAGUCCACAUCAUCUACGUGUUCCAACAUUAAUGAUGGCGGCCAUCCAUCCAUCAGAUGAAGUGCAAAUAUAAAUAACAAACAAUUAAUAUUAAAUUUGCUCUCCAAAAAAAUUAAUUCAUUAAUUAAUUAGAAUAGUAGAGCUGUUUUAAUAUUAAUUUAAAAUGCAUUCUUAUCUGAUUUAUUCACGGUUUUUAUAUGUAUCAAUCGACUAACGUAUUUUUAUUGUAUUCAAUAUUUAUUACAGCAGCUGGUGAUCCAGAUGCAUGGAGACUUGGACGUAUUGAAGAAGCCGAUCAUGAAACUCCAGUUUGAAUGUUGUCGUCGUUGCCUUUACCAAGCAAUCGCUUCACUCAACAAAUUAUACCUAGGUAUUUAAUUACACACAAAACAUUGCAAUAAACAGAAAAAAAAAAACAAACAAAAUGGGUCACUUUAAAAACAAAUGCAGGCUUUAAUUUAAACAUUAAAAAAAACUCCUUCACAGAUAACCACGAUUUUCAAA